GUUCACCAUUGAUGACCAGCACCCGGCUCUGAUCACCUUGAGGACACCCUGGACCACCCUUCCAGGACCUUUGAUAACCAGGGAAUCUGAGGGCAC